UACAGAGGGUGCAAGCGUUGUCCGGAUUUACUGGGCGUAAAGAGCGUGUAGGCGGCCAAACAGGUCCGUUGUGAAAACUGGAGGCUCAACUUCCAGACGUCGACGGAACCGAUGUGGCUAGAGUCCGGAAGAGGAGAGUGGAAUUCCUGGUGUAGCGGUGAAAUGCGCAGAUAUCAGGAAGAACACCAAUGGCGAAGGCAGCUCUCUGGGACGGUACUGACGCUGAGACGCGAAAGCGUGGGGAGCGAACAGG
rnacentral:rRNA from 1 species